UACGGAGGGAGCUAGCGUUGUUCGGAAUUAUUGGGCGUAAAGAGCUCGUAGGCGGCUUGUCACGUCGGGUGUGAAAGCCCGGGGCUUAACCCCGGGUCUGCAUUCGAUACGGGCUGGCUGGAGUGUGGUAGGGGAGAUCGGAAUUCCUGGUGUAGCGGUGAAAUGCGCAGAUAUCAGGAGGAACACCGGUGGCGAAGGCGGAUCUCUGGGCCAUUACUGACGCUGAGGAGCGAAAGCGUGGGGAGCGAACAGG
rnacentral:rRNA from 1 species